rnacentral:tRNA from 1 species
GCCGAUGUAGCUCAACUGGCAGAGCAACUCAUUCGUAAUGAGUAGGUUACCGGUUCAAUUCCGGUCAUCGGCUCCA